UAGGGAAUCUUCGGCAAUGGGGGCAACCCUGACCGAGCAACGCCGCGUGAGUGAAGAAGGUUUUCGGAUCGUAAAGCUCUGUUGUAAGAGAAGAACGUGUGUGAGAGUGGAAAGUUCACACAGUGACGGUAACUUACCAGAAAGGGACGGCUAACUACGUGCCAGCAGCCGCGGUAAUACGUAGGUCCCGAGCGUUGUCCGGAUGUAUUGGGCGUAAAGCGAGCGCAGGCGGUUUAAUAAGUCUGAAGUUAAAGGCAGUGGCUUAACCAUUGUUCGCUUUGGAAACUGUUAAACUUGAGUGCAGAAGGGGAGAGUGGAAUUCCAUGUGUAGCGGUGAAAUGCGUAGAUAUAUGGAGGAACACCGGUGGCGAAAGCGGCUCUCUGGUCUGUAACUGACGCUGAGGCUCGAAAGCGUGGGGAGCAAACAGG
rnacentral:rRNA from 1 species